UAUUAGCCCCGAUGGAAGCGGCUACCCCGCAGCGAAGCCGCGGAGCGAAGCGGAGCGGCAAAGCGAGGAGUAAUAGCGGACAGCGGGAAAUAGC
rnacentral:sRNA from 1 species